rnacentral:lncRNA from 1 species
GUAAUUUGUUCUUUAUUUUUUGUUCUUCAUUUUCUAUUAUUUAAGGGGGGGUAUAUUUGUCAUUUUACAACUUUUAAUUGAGAAAGUGCAUGAAAACAAUGAUUUUUGCAGUGAAAUUUGAAAACCAAAAAAGAAAAAUGAAAAGUAUUGAUGUUUUUUAAUAUAACAUUGAAAGGUAGGGACGUAUUGUGCUAAUUACUUUUUUAAUAAUUUAUUUGGACUUAUUCGCACUUUUCUUUAAAAGGUUUGAGAGUAUGAUUGCAAUUUUUCAUUUAAUUUUUCUUUUCCUCUUAUUUAUUUAUUUAUUUUUAUUUGAAUAAGAUGGUAUAUUUUUCAUUUUACACGACAAAUUGGAUGAAAAGGAUGAUUUCCGCAAUGAAAAGUAAAGGUAUGGGUGAAAAUGUCAAAAAAUGAAAGGUAUAAAAGUUUUGCACAAUAACAUUGAAAGAUAAAGACGUUUUGGGUUAAUUACUCGUUUUUUUUUAUUUAGCCAUUCAGACGCUCUCCAUCACUCUCAAAUUAUUUGGUUCCCAACCAUUUAUUUCACAAGUAUUAAUAGUUGUUUCGCGCGGGUUAGUCGCUAACAAUUAAAAAGGAUCAGGCGAUUGUGUAAGGGACAAACCUCUUGAGACAAAGUCCCAAAAAGGGGUGUUCUUUUAUUGGCGAUAACUUUACAAUUGGAAAUUAAAAACAAAGUGCCUCCAAGGGGCGCAAGCACACGAGUUACUGAAAAAAGUGUUUAAGUCUAAAACUAAGGAAAUUAAAAUUACAUGUUCUCUGUUCGAGAGUUUUUGAUUGGGUCCUUUGCUCUAUGUCUUUUCUCACUUUUAUACUUCAUGGACGAUCUUUUGUGAUCAACCGCCUAAAAACUGCUUGAUCGUCCUACAACUGUCCACUUUCCUCGUAAUGACCAACUUGUCAUGAAAACUGCCUUUUUUUUAACUGCUGCCAUUACUCUUCGUCGUUCAACCCUUUCGAUUGAAUUCCUUGAAUCGUGGAACGUGAUAGGGCUGCUUUAAUAACUGCUUUGAUAACUGCACUUCUUGAUAACCACAACGCUUUAUGUUUGUUAAGACCUUGGGCGACUUGAAGGUUUGGGUGAGAAUAGAGUAACAGCUCUGGGCGACUGUAUGGCACUCCAUUCGUUCAGAUUCUGGGCGACUUGCAAACUUGGACGAUAGCGUUAUCGCUUUCUUGGGCCUCCCCAUUUGGGCCUUCAUCUUGAAUUGUUUGAUUGAGCUUCGUUCUUUAGGCUAUCUGAUUUGGGGAUCCUUCAAUUGGGCUUCAUUCCUUGAGCCAUUCGAUUUGGGCUAAAUUUUUAUGUGUCAACAAUUCCCCCCAAUAUGGCAGAAUUAAUAAUAAUUAUUAAAUUUUAUCAUAUUCACUUUGUGUUUCCAGCAACAUUCGAAAUUUCCAAGAAUUUCAAUCAUUGUUUUCUUCUAUAAUUUGAAAAGGUGCGUCGUUUUGCAAACCCUUAUAACUCCCAAACACGCCAUUUCACUGCACCAUUAAAUCACGCUUCAAAUUUUUGCGUCUCUCUCACGAUUUACUGUUCAUCUUUUGCUUCCCUGCUACGUAACCCUGAAAAAUUUCGUUCCUUCUCAAAUGGCUACUUCACAAUUUCAAGCUGGUGACCCCUUUAGCUUUGAUGACUUUCAGAAACUUCUGAGUCGUCCAUACAUAACUCCGAGUUUUCUCGCGCCCGCCGAUGUCAAACGUAAUGAGUUCUACUUGGGUCCUUUCUUCAACAAUGCGGAGGCAGUUGAACAGGUGGUGGUGGGUCAGCUGUUUCCUUGCAGUCAAGGCCCUCCAUUGCUAAACUCUCUGCCGCUGGGGCCACUUCACGAAAGAGGUAUUCGCACUUGGCCUAAAUCUGAUGUAGCUUUCCGUAGGUAGCAUGCUCGCCUUGUGGGCCAUGGUCCUACUAAGGCACUUUUUGAUAAUGUUAGGAUUUCUGAUUUGUUAGAAAUCUCUAUUCGCCCCCUACUUUUGAUUCAGCACUUUUUUCGAUUGCUUUGAGUUUUUGGUCUUCUGAGUAUAAUGCCUUUAUUUUCCCUCUUGGCCCCAUGUCUAUUACUUUAAGGGAUAUUGAGGCUCUAGUGAAUCUAUCACCUUUGGGCGAUACCAUUUUUCCUGGUAUCUUGAUUUCUGGUGGCGCCCCAAAAUUUGGUAAAAACUACACCGAGUCUUGCUCAAGCUUGCAAACCCUCACAAUCAUUCAAACGCUGAGCCUUCCCAUACUGAGCGAGUGGCUUUUCUUCUAGUUUGGCUUUAUAAAUAUGUUUUGUGUGUGCCAAGCAUAAAGCCCUCCCUGAGUUAUUUACCCAUAGCGUAUGAAUUGGCGCGUGGUAGGCCUUUGAAUUUAUGUUCUUUCUUUUUUGCUGCCCUUUAUAGAGGCAUGACCUCUCUUCAAACCCAAUUGAAGAAUGGUGCAUCUCCCACUGGUAGUGGACCUCUUUGGUUCACUCAACUGUGGUUGAGAUCCUAUUUUCCAUUGCUUGGUGUUCCAUCAAUCUCUCGCUCCUCUGCUAGCUGUUAUGGGCUAGCCAUGGAGCCCUUGGCUCCUGUAAAUAUGUCCAGAAGGGACAUUUUUUCAUUCUUUUAUUCUUUGGAUUCAAUCUCUUCCUUUUUUCCUUUUCCUCCUUUUUUGACUCCAAACUAUGUACAUCCCCCCUCCACUAUAGACAGUGCGAGCACCUCCCUGCUCAUUUGGAUCCAGUUUUUAACCGGGAGGGAGCUAUUUCAUGAUAUCUUGACUGGGACCAAUGCUAAGGCAGGGGUAGAAAUUUAUGCUCCCCAAUUUUUUGCUCGCCAGCUUGGUUUCGGCCAUACUUGGCCUGUUCCUCCUUACUAUUCAAGGAACUUAAUUGACCAUUUUCAUACUAUUAAUAAGGCGGAGGCAGAGGCUAUAAAUGCUCGCAAACUUCUCUUAACCAGCUAUUUCUCAUUAGCCCCCUUCAAUUCUAGCCACGCCAUUCAUCCUCUUUUUGAACAGCUCUAGCCGUCAGUGAAGCGCAGAUUAUUUGCGACUGAUGCCAAUCAUGCCUUUCAUUCACUAGACCAGCCGAGUAUUUCUUCCCCUCCUUUUGUUUUAGUCACUCCUUUGUCCGUCCGGAGUCAUUCUCCUUCUCGUCGUGCUAAACAGUCUGCUCGUCCAUCUUCUUCUCUCCCUGCCAAGCCUACUACGGCCAAGAGUGCCCCAAGCCGCAAACGGCCAGCCUCAGCAUCUCCCAUUCUGGAAGAUGAUGUUGAUGAUGAUGAUGAUGCCUCUCUUAUCGUCAGGAGGAAGGUAAUUAAAUUGGUUUACUCACGAGCAUAUUUUUCCAUACUUGAAACUUUUCUGUGUGCUGAUGAUCUUUUGGACUUCUCAGAAAAGCUCAGCCUCUCCUUCAAAGGCUUUGGCAUCGACAGCUCCUGCUCCAUCAUCCUCCGCUGAGGUUGCUUCAUCCAAACCGAUUGAUGAGGGGGCUACGCUUAAAGAGACAUCUUCAGUCCCAGAGUCCUCAUCACAACCCAUGGAUGAGCCACCUUCUUACCAGGGCUUCAACCCUCCAAACAUCGAAGCAGAAGGUAAUUCAGUCUUUUGAUGUCUUACCUUUGCUUGUGCUGUUGGUUUCUGAUUUGUUGCUCUUGAGUUUUGCAGAUACUCCUAUGAGUCCGCCCGUUGUGGCAACAUCUUCUCGCUCAGACAAGGGGAAGUCCUCACGAAUGGAGGAGUCGUUGGUGGCAGACUUGGCUGAGGACAUGCCAUCUUCCACGAUUGUUGAUGAGGUAAUCUUUGCUUCACUUCUAUUUCUAUCUUGUUCGUUGUAGUGAGAAUCUUUAAUAUUGGCAAUUUUCUUUGCAGGAUGCUGACAAGAUUGUGCGUUUUAUCCAAGACUUGUUCGCUUCCUGGGGGCAAGUCCAGACGUCUCGCCCUGCUCCAUAUGAUCGUCCUGCUGCUUCUUUAGAGGAAGAUUUGAAAUUCCUCAAGGAGUCGAUAUUUGAGUACGUGUCCUUCAUGGAUAUGGACAUUGGAAGGGCUAGUGCUGCCAGACACAAGGAUAAACUUGAGCAUUUGAAUGCGAAGUUGGAGCAAGCACUGACGCUUCCGUCGUUCAAUCUUUCUGCUGAUUUUAAAGCGACGUUGAAGGUUAUCCACUCCGAGGUCCUUUCUUUGCUAGCCAAGAAUGCUGAACUAAAGGCCAAAAGUACUCAAUAUCUUCGAGCCGUAUCUGAGAAAGAGUCUUUGCGUAUGGAGAUUAACAAGGCUGAGGACGAGUUGAAAGAAAUCUCUUCCGAAGUCAUGGUUGAAGACUCUUUGAUGAUUAAUUUGGCUGCUCAGAUGAAGGAACUUCAAGCCAAAAUGGACGACUGCAGGGCGAGAAUGGCUGCUAAAAAGCACAACGCCUCCCAGGGAAUUGAGCGAACUAAGUCCUUGGUUGAGCAGUACAAGAAGUUGGAAGUUGAUGAUGAUGUCGUGGGCGAAUUGAACAUCACUUCCUCUCGACACAACGAGGAUUGGGAAAAACUUAGGGAACGAAUUCAUUCAGUAUGGGGUGGACUGUAAUUAAGACAUAUGAUGCCUUUUUCUUUUGUAAUUUGAUUUUUCAUUUGUAACUUUGUUCAUCAUUAAUGAACAUUAACUUCUUG